UACGAAGGGGGCUAGCGUUGCUCGGAAUCACUGGGCGUAAAGCGCACGUAGGCGGACUCUUAAGUCAGGGGUGAAAUCCUGGAGCUCAACUCCAGAACUGCCUUUGAUACUGGCAACCUUGAGUCCGGGAGAGGUGAGUGGAACUGCGAGUGUAGAGGUGAAAUUCGUAGAUAUUCGCAAGAACACCAGUGGCGAAGGCGGCUCACUGGCCCGGUACUGACGCUGAGGUGCGAAAGCGUGGGGAGCAAACAGG
rnacentral:rRNA from 1 species